rnacentral:rRNA from 1 species
CGUUAUCCCAAUCAUUGAAAGUGUAGUUAGAUCCGUCGAUAUGAGAAUACGUUCGACCGAUUUUAGUUCUGAAUCUACUCUUACGAAGGAUACAGUACCGGUCGAUGUCGAUGCAAUAUGUUUCUGGAUGGU